rnacentral:rRNA from 1 species
GAUGAACGCUGGCGGCGUGCCUAAUACAUGCAAGUCGAGCGAACAGACGAGGAGCUUGCUCCUCUGACGUUAGCGGCGGACGGGUGAGUAACACGUGGAUAACCUACCUAUAAGACUGGGAUAACUUCGGGAAACCGGAGCUAAUACCGGAUAAUAUAUUGAACCGCAUGGUUCAAUAGUGAAAGACGGUUUUGCUGUCACUUAUAGAUGGAUCCGCGCCGCAUUAGCUAGUUGGUAAGGUAACGGCUUACCAAGGCAACGAUGCGUAGCCGACCUGAGAGGGUGAUCGGCCACACUGGAACUGAGACACGGUCCAGACUCCUACGGGAGGCAGCAGUAGGGAAUCUUCCGCAAUGGGAGAAAGCCUGACGGAGCAACGCCGCGUGAGUGAUGAAGGUCUUCGGAUCGUAAAACUCUGUUAUUAGGGAAGAACAAAUGUGUAAGUAACUAUGCACGUCUUGACGGGACCUAAUCAGAAAGCCACGGCUAACUACGUG